rnacentral:lncRNA from 1 species
UUGCUAUUUCUUGGGCCGCUCCCGCGGCAUAUGGAGGUUCCCAGGCGAGGGGUCGAAUCGGAGCUGUAGCCCCCGGCCUACACCAGAGCCACCGCAACACGGGAUCCGAGCCGCAUCUGCAACCUACACCACAGCUCACGGCAACGCCGGAUCAUUAACCCACUGAGCAAAGGCAGGGAUCGAACCCGCAACCUCAUGGUUCCUAGUCGGAUUCGUUAACCACUGUGCCACGACGGGAACUCCAGGAGACACUUUCAAUGUGAUAAAAGACACCUGCAAACCAGCCACAGCCAAGUUCACACCAACAGGGACCAGGCCAAGGACCCCAGGCCCGGUCAAUCUGUUCAUCACUGUCCCACAGCUCCAGCCACAUCUGUAGGGACGACAGAAAACAAAGCAAAAGCCACCAAGACGAGAAAGAAGAGUGAUCCCGCCUCUGUGUACAAGGCCUGAUCAUCUACAUGGAAAAUCCCAGGAAAUGUAACAAACCGCUAUAUCAUCUAGGUGAAUUCAGUAAUGUUCCAAGAAUAUAGAGUCAAUAUGCAAAAUCAAUUAUUAUUUCUUCUUCUUUUUCUUUUUUUAGGGCCACACCUACAGCAUGUGGAAGUUCCCAGGAUAGGGGUUGAAUCGGAGCUACAGCUGCUGGCCUACACCACAGCCACAGCCAUGCAGGAUCCGAGACACAUCUGCGACCUACACCACAGCUCGAGGCAACACCGGAUCCUCAACCCACUGAGUGAGGCCAGGGAUCGAACCCGCAUCCUCAUGGAUGCUGGCUGGGUUCGUUAGCACUGAGCCACGACGGGAACUCCUCAAUUGUUAUUUCUAUAUUCUGGUAACAUGCAAAUGGAAAUGAAACUUAAGUAUUGUUUACAAUGGCACUCAAAAACAACUGGUUUAUGGGCAUAAAUUUGAUAAAAAAUGUGUAAGAGCAGCUACACAGAAACACUGCUGAGAGGAGUUCAAGAUCCAAAUACUGGAAACACUCGCUGCAAUGGAGCCUGUCUCAACAGGGACACACGCCCGUGGCGCAUCCCUAAUCCACGUGACUACAUUAGAGGACUCGGCAUCACCACAUUAAUCUCUCCCAGAGUUCCCGCUGUGGUGCAGCAGGUUAAGGGCCCUGCGUUGUCUCUGCAGCAGUGAGGGUUCCAUCCCUGGCCUGGUGCAGUGGGCUAAAGAUCUGGUGUUGCCACAGCUCUGCAGCUCCAAUUUGACCCCUAGCUUGGGAACAUCCAUAUGCUGCAGAUGGGGCCCUAAAAAAAAAGGAAAAAAAAUGGAAAAAAACCUAGAAUAGCCAAAGCAAUUUUUAAAAAGAAAAACAAGCAUGGAGGAUUUACACACUCUAACCCGAAGAUUUUUUGUUUGUUUGUUUGUUUGUUUAGGGCCACACCCUCGGCACACAGAGGUUCCCAGGCUAGGGGUCUAAUUGGAGCUGUAGCCACCAGCCUACCCACAGGCACAGCAACUCGGCAACACAGCAAGCCGCGUCCGUGACCUACACCACAGCUCACCGCAAUGCCAGAUCCUUAACCCACUGAGCGAGGCCAGGGAUGGAACCCACAACCUCAUGGUUCCUAGUCGGGUUCAUUAACCGCUGAGCCACGACAGGAACUCCUCUAACCCGAAGAUUUAUUAUCAAGUCACAAGACUGUGUGGACUGCUGAACAGAUAAACAGAUCAAUGUUAACAGGAUCCAGAAAUAGACUCUCACAAACACACUCAAAUGAUUUCUGACCAGAUGCCAAAGCAAUUCGAUGGGGAAAAGAAAGUUUUUUAACAAAUAGUGCUGGGUCAACUGGUUAUUCAAAUAGAAUUAACAAGUCAACCUCGACUCACAUCACAUGGAAAAUUAAUUAGAGAUGGCUUAUGGAGCCAACAGAAAAAUGGAAUCUACAAACCUUCUAUACGAAACUACAGGAACCCAUCUUUGUGACUCCUGGUUAGGCGAAAGCUUUUAAAUCAGACACAGAAAGCAUGAACCAAAAAAGAAAAACCACUGGCUGAUAAAUUGAACGUCAUUAAUAUUAAAAACUUCUGCUCAUUACAAUACAUCAUUAUGAUGGAUAUAAAUCCUACAUAUUUGUCAAAACCCACAGAACAACGUAUCACAGAGAGUAGACUCUAAAACAUGCAAAAAGAGGUCUCCUGGUGGCUCAGCAGGUUGAGGAUCUGGCAUUGUCACUACAGUGGCUCGGGUCAAUGCUGUGGCUUGCAUUCGAUCCCUGGCCUGGGAACUUCUGCAUGCUGUGGGUGUGGCCAAAAAAAAAUCUGAAAGUAGGCUAAAACAUGCAAAAAAAAUCAAUACCACCAACCAGAAGGUCAGGGAUCUCAGGAUGGAAAGCAGACCACAACCACAGACUCUCACUCUAUCACAACCUGGGACACAAACACACUGAAGGGAACAGGAAGACAGUGUUCUGACUAGAAAAUGUAAAACCAACGAUAAAAAGAAACCGCAAAUAAACACGGUGGUCAAGAUGGCGAAUUUGCCCCUCAGGAUGGGGGUCUAUGGGGGAGCGAUUCUGAAACUGCUUUUCAUGUGCACUGGGGUGGGACAAACACGUAAACCAUGGCCAUGGUGGUGAGAAGGCCACACACGAGCACUUUUACUACAGAGUCUAGGUUACAGACUCACACCUGUCCAUCUGGUGAGGGGACUGCAGGCAAUGACAGCCCAGCCCCAGUGCCCACGCCCACUGCCAGAUCCUGGCUUCUCCAGCCCACUCUCCAGUGAAAGGAACCAGAGCUCCCUGGAGAAACGGCUGAGUCUAGGCCUGAGGCAGGGAUACAAGACUGAGUGAGCAGCUGGAGCAGUUGGCAGUGCCAGAAAGGAAAGAAGGGCUCAAAACAACUCAGGGCAGAGGGUGGCCUCCCAGUGGCCAAGGCUGGACCAAGGUGGGCAGACAAAGAGCGCAGAGCUGGUUCCCCUCCAAAGUGCAGACGAACGCCCACAAGUCCGUCCUUCAAACGGAAUCCAAACCGCCCCCGGGGAAGGACAGGACAGGAGAACUCUCCUUGGCAGACACCACCUGAACCAAGCGACCAGGACCAGGUGUGGAUGCCAGGUGCCCCUGACACGAUGUGGCUAGAGGGUCAUCUCACCUCUGGAGUCUUCGUCCCAAAAACCCACACCCCCGUCCAACCAUGAGAAAACACAUCAGACAAACGCAACAUCAGGGACAUGCUACAAAAACAGCCAAGCAGCCCUUCUCAAAACUGUCCGGGUCAUGAAAAGACAGGAUCCUGGCCAGCAUCCGGGGCACAAAGAGGACACGGGGGCAGCACAUGGCCUGACACCUGGAGUGCAGGGGACAGUAACGGAGCCUCAGUUUCCACAAACGCCCCUUGGUUGGCAACCUCCCUGUGAAUCUAAAACCAUUCCAAAAAUUUUAAAGUUAACUUUUUAAGACACCAUUAAUAAAAUGAACAGGCAAGUCAAAAAAUGGGAGCUACCAUCCCCAAUACAUCUAUCCGACCAACAGCAAGGGCCUUACAGCUUGACUUUUUUUUUUUUAAAGGCGACAGAUUUGACCAGACACUUCAGAAAAGAGGUUGGGGAGGGCGCCAGAGACGGACACACACGCUCGGCACAGCACUCAAGGAGAUGCAGGCUGAAGACAAGCCACUGGGCCCCAGAGCACACACGCAGGAAGGCGCUGCUCAGGGUCACACAAGACAGCCCGGAGACCAGCCAUCAGAAAAUGCCCACCACGCUGUGCGCGGCCAGGGGCACCCCGUGCCCGUGAGCUCUCACACAGAAACAGUGAAGAGCCCUGCCUGCGCUUCUGGCGGGGGCGGGGGAGGGGGGCAAAUCACCACAGUCCGGGCAGCUUAGACCAGACGCUGCUUCUCGCAGAACUAGGGGCUGGGAGGCCCAAGGUCAAGGUGCCGGCAGACCCGGCGUCUGGCGAGGGCCCUUCCUGGCCUGCAGACGGCCACCUUCUCACCGUCCUCAUGGCCUUUCCUUGGUGUGCGAGCAGGGGUCAUGUGAGCGGGGUGUGGGGAGGUCGCUCUGUCUUGCCCCUGCCCUCAGGGCACCGAUGCCAGCACGGGCCCCAGCUCACCCCGAUCACCUCCCAAAGGCUCCACCUCCAGACACCAUCACACUGGGGUCAUGGAUUUGGGGCGACAGAGCCAAUCGGCCCACAACACAGGGGAACCUUUAGGGAAGACAGAACUGUCCUGUCAUGAUGGGCGUGCAGGUGACAGUUGUACGCCUUUGUCAAAAUUGAUCAAACGGAGCCUGUGCAUUUCAUUUAUGUGAAUUACACGCACUAACUGAAUAAAUGCAAUUCAUUUUCUAUUUUGAAGAUCUCAUGGGAGCCAAACAGCUAAGUAAUGGAGCACGAGUUUCCACAAUGUAAUGCAGUUUGGUGAGAAUUUACACUGUACUGUGCGUUCUUGCACAGCUCAUUCUUCCUUAGAAAAAGUGGUUUCAAUGAAGAAGUCACUGUGAUUCUGCACAAGUAACACAUCACGAAGCGGGUGGAAUCACUCUGACCAGUCAACAGGGGCUGGGUGCUGGCUGGACAACCAUGUAAACGGGCUCCCUGGUAGGAAGCCUUGCCUGGAUGACCACUGCAGGGGGCGGUGGACGCCACAUACAUACCGCUCCUCCAGGCUUUGCGGCGGCUGUGGCUGGAGAGGGGGGGUCGCCAGCUUUAAAAAUCACAUGCGCUGGAGUUCCCAUUGUGGCGCAGCGGAAACGAAUCCAGCUAGGAACCAUGCGGUCGCAGGUUCGAUCCCUGGCCUCGCUCAGUGGGUUAAGGAUCUGGCAUUGCCGUGUGCUGUGGUGUAGCUCGCAGACAUGGGUCGGAUCUGGUGUUGCUGUGGCUGUGACAUAGGCUGGCGGCUACAGCUCCAAUUAGACCCCUAGCCUAGGAACCUCCAUACGCCCAGGGGGUGCAGCUCUAAAAGAUGAACAGACCAAAAAAAAAAAAAAAUCCCAUGUGCUGAUCUUGUUUCUCCCACUGCCCAGCACAGCACGGGAGGACCUGCUGGAUCUCCAGCCCCUCAGGGCAGGUUCCUGCCAGUCACUUUCUCAGCAAGCAAAGGGAGCAAUGUGGCUCUCAGGACAAAAGGAGAACUGUGUGUGGCCCUGUUCAUUAACAUGUUUCUCAACCCGAAAGUCCCAUCGUGCUGAUGGAGAACCGAUGGUGUACACAAUCUGACUGGAUGCAAAGUCUGUGUACGUGUAGGUGCUCCGUGGACUCCGCAGCCCUGAGAAGGUACUGAUGGGAGGACCCCCGGAACUCCCCAGGGGGUUCCUGGCCGUGGGGAUGCGGAAUUCUCAGUACUGUGGUGACUAGAGAUCAUUCUUCAAGUGAAUUACGCUUACCUUGCAGAACAGGGCGGUGCAGGGAGGGUCCUGGGGUGACCACCCUCCAAGGCACGUUUGCUCUGUCUUUGGGAGACGCACACCGGGGCGGGGUGGAGUGCGCGUGUGCCAGAAGAAACUUUCCGUAAAAUUCAGAUUUUAUUUCCUUCUAGGAGCUUCUGCAUUCAGAUUAUGGCUGAACAAGGCUGCUACGGGGGCGCGGGCUGAGGCGCAGAGGACGAGGCCCAGCGCUACCUCCAGCACCGCGGUGACCCUGAGAACACAGGACAAAGCCGGGCCACCUGAGCGCCCCGCCACCAGGGAGCUGCGUUUGCAGGAGCGCUGUGAGAAGCGCGUCCAAACCCCCCGAUCUUAAUGAACUUAAACUAGAACGUCAAUUAAAUCGUUCUGGUGACUACGCACACGAACCCCUGUUGGACGAGGCCUGACACUCCAGUGGCGAUCAGCGAGCUGAAAUGGGAAACCUCCUGGGACUCGCGGUUCCUCCCGCGCGUCCGGGGCGCCCUGAGCCGGUGGCGGGGCGAGGGGCACAGAGAGAAAGGGCGGCCAAACCCCGCCGCCCUGACUGC